GGGGGAUUAGCUCAGCUGGGAGAGCGCCUGCCUUACAAGCAGGAUGUCGGCGGUUCGAUCCCGUCAUCCCCCACCA
rnacentral:tRNA from 2 species